CGGCAACAGCUCAAAUUUGAAAUCUGGCUCUUUCAGGGUCCGAGUUGUAAUUUGUAGAAGAUGCUUCGGGUGUGGCUCUGGUCUAAGUUCCUUGGAGCAGAACGUCAUAGAGGGUGAGAAUCCCGUCUAGAACCGAUAGCCACGUUCAUGUGAAACUCCUUCGAC
rnacentral:rRNA from 1 species